CGCUGGUGUAAACGGCUUUCCCUACCUUUUUAGAGAGAAAAUGGCUGACGAUUAAUGACAUUAGUUACUUUUUUUUGACAUUUGUUUGAUCGCCGUGUUACAAGGUUCUGUGCUUACAAGGCGACGGCUUAUUAAUUAAUUAAGGGGCUCUUUUAUGUAGGUUAGAGCUUAGGAUACGCAUUUUCAGUGCACAUACACCGACAUUAUCAAACUGUGGAAUCGAACGUGCAGUAUAAAUCUGCACUGCCACAAUUGAUGCUAUAAGCAGUUAACAGUUUACCAUCUCGUUAACAAAAGGUGGACAUCAAUAAAAUGGGCAAGUACGACUCAAAGGAUGGUGUACGAAGAAUGACCACAUGACUGGCAGUUCAUAUUAAUAUUUCCAUCAGUCUUAUUUGUGCUGCCAUGGACGAUACUGAUUUAUGGCUUGGUUCUUCUGAAUCACAGAACUCUGGUGCUUGUACUAAUAAUGCGUCAUUAGAAGAUUUACACAUUUUAAUGAAAUGUUACCAGAACUGUUAUAAUUUAUAAGAAACUACAUGAAAUAUUUAAAGAGAUAAAGCGUGAAGCAAAAGGAAGUGAUGUAAAGAAGCAGAUCAAUUCACUAAGGUUGAAUCACAGGAGGGAAUUAAAUAAAAUGAAAUGUUCUAAAUGUGAUAGAAAGACAAUUCUCAAUGAACAUAAUUUAUAGGAACGUAAACAGUAGUCUCAACUGUUACAAAUAAGUGUAUUGUCAAAAACUUUAACAAUGCAAUAAAACAGGAACAACUAACUAACCCAUUAA